rnacentral:rRNA from 1 species
AUACCGGGCCUUUUUGGGCUUGGUAAUUGGAAUGAGGGAGAGUUAAACGGACCAUCGAGUAUCCAUUGGAGGGCAAGUCUGGUGCCAGCAGCUGCGGUAAUACCAGCUCCAAUAGCGUAUAUUAAAGUUGUUGCAGUUAAAAAGCUCGUAGUUGGACUUGUGUGCGCUGUCCGCGGGUGGCCUGCGCCCAAAAGGGCGUUUCGGUUCGGCCCCGGUGGCGCCUUGAAAUCUGCAGCUGGGGGGACGUUGGCCUUAACUGGUCGGCGACCGCACGCCGGCUGCUCGGCUACUGUGAGAAAAUUAGAGUGUUCAAGGCAGGCAUUGGGUGCAAUUGAAUACAUUAGCAUGGAAUAAUAAAAUAUGGCUCCUGCCGUAUUUUGUUGGUUUUGACUGGUGGGAGUAAUGAUUGAUAGGGACGGUUGGGGGUGCUAGUAUUGAGCGGCCAGAGGUGAAAUUCAUGGAUUCGCUCAAGACUAACUUAUGCGAAAGCAUUCACCAAGGACGUCCUCUUUAAUCAAGAACGAAAGUUGGGGGAUCGAAGACGAUCAGAUACCGUCGUAGUCUCAACCAUAAACUAUGUCGACUUGGGAUCGGCGGUAGUUUUUUUCAUUAAGACACUGUCGGGACCACGGGAGAAAUCAAAGUGUCUGGACUCUGGGGGAAGUAUGGUCGCAAGGCUGAAACUUGAAGGAAUUGACGGAAGGGCACCACCAGGAGUGGAGCCUGCGGCUUAAUUUGACCCAACACGGGGAAACUUACCAGGUCCAGAGAUAUAGAGGAUUGACAGAUUGAAGCUCUUUCUUGAUCACUUCGGUGGUGGUGCAUGGCCGUUCUUAGUUGGUGAGUGAUUUGUCUGGUUAAUUCCGUUAACGAACGAGACCUCAGCCUGCUAGUGUAGUCGGCUGGAUUGCCUUUGGCGAUCCGUGAUUUCGACUUCUUAGAGGGACAAUCGACGCGCAGUCGAUGGAAGUUUGAGGCAAUAACAGGUCUGUGAUGCCCUUAGAUGUUCUGGGCCGCACGCGCGCUACACUGCUGGGCUCAGCGAGUUUUACUUGGCCGAGAGGCCCGGUUAAUCUUGUGAAAUCCCAGCGUGCUUGGGCUCGCCUCCUGCAACUGGAGGCGCCAACGAGGAAUUCCUAGUAGACGCAGGUCAUCAACCUGCAUCGAUUACGUCCCUGCCCUUUGUACACACCGCCCGUCGUUCCAUAAGAGUGAGGCAUCCGGUGAAUUCUCGGGAGAGCCUGGGCGUGGCCAGCAAUGGUCUGCUCGGGUUUGAACUUGCAUAAACUUGGUGCCUAUGAUUAGGG